rnacentral:rRNA from 1 species
UACGUAGGCAGCGAGCGUUGUUCGGAGUUACUGGGCGUAAAGGGUGUGUAGGCGGUUAUUUAAGUUUGGUGUGAAAUCUCCCGGCUCAACCGGGAGGGUGCGCCGAAUACUGAAUGACUAGAGUGCGGGAGAGGUGAGUGGAAUUCCUGGUGUAGCGGUGAAAUGCGUAGAUAUCAGGAGGAACACCGGUGGUGUAGACGGCUCACUGGACCGUAACUGACGCUGAGACACGAAAGCGUGGGUAGCAAACAGG